rnacentral:lncRNA from 14 species
GGGGCUCACGGGCAAGCUGGUUCCAUUGGGGUCCCGGGGUGCUGAUGUGCACCGGGGAGGGUGGCAGGGGUCAGUGGGGAUCCCGGGCAGGGGACUGACGGUCCGGGGGAAGCAGGGCAUGGUGAGGGCAGCCCUGGGCAGAUGCGGAUGCCCAGGUCAGAGGCAGAGCUUGGUGCUCCCGUGGUCCGUGGGCAGCGGUGCCAGAGGCACAGGGGGGCAGAGCGGGGUGCGGGUGGGCCUGGGGUCGGUGCCGGCUGACGGCCCCUGCAGGCUCCUGGGUGGAGCUGCGCUGCAGCCCCGGGGGCCCCGAGCCUGAGCCCUCGCGGCUCUCCUGCCAUGCCGACGUGGAGCGGAUGCUGCUGGAGGCCCAGCUGGAGACUGAGAGCGGCGAGAGUGCCCUGCUCCUGAUGGGCUCCCCAGUCUGGGAUGAGGAUGGAGCCGGUCCAGCCAGCGAGCGACCUGGGGACAGCGACCUGCGGCCUCCGUGCAGCCAGCCCCAGCCAGGCUGCCUGCACCCCCGGCAGCGGGACGUGCCAGAUGAAGCCGAGCGGAGGGAACAGCACCUGCCAGCAUCCCUCAACUGGGCCUGUGCCCACCACCCUCAGCAUCUCUCUCCAAAGGAGUUUGCCUUUGUGUGCUCCCCGCAGCCGGUGCUGUGGAGCCUGCAGGGAGGAGCAGUGGGGAGAAAGAAGAAACUGUUCAGUUCAGAGCUGCUGCUGCUCUUCAUCCCCUCGCUGCUGCUCAGCCAUGUGCUGACACUAGGGCUUGGGAUCUACAUCGGGAAGCGACUGGCGGCCUCCUCAGCCAACCCACUGUGAAGAGCUGGGAUCGGUGAGGCUCCGUGGGGGGCGGCCCAGGCAUCAGUGCAGCCCAGCUGCUCCCAGGCUGUGGCACGAGGCACUGUCUCCCGUCAUCCCUACUUUAGCCCCAGCCCAGGAGCUGAUCCCGCUCUCCCACGUAGACAGAAGCCCGCUGAUGGCAGCUCCAGGGGCAGGCAGCCCCUGCCCCCCCAUCCCUUGGUUACGGGUCCAUGUUCCUCCUUUUUAACACAGACUGUAAAUAUAAUUCCUGAGCUGCAACAUUAGAGUGCGAAUAAAGAGCCCUGAGUCACUGGCA